UACGAAGGGGGCUAGCGUUGCUCGGAAUGACUGGGCGUAAAGGGCGCGUAGGCGGUUCAUACAGUCAGAUGUGAAAUUCCUGGGCUCAACCUGGGGGCUGCAUUUGAUACGUGUGGACUAGAGUGGGGAAGAGGGUCGUGGAAUUCCCAGUGUAGAGGUGAAAUUCGUAGAUAUUGGGAAGAACACCGGUGGCGAAGGCGGCGACCUGGUCCGUUGACUGACGCUGAGGCGCGAAAGCGUGGGGAGCAAACAGG
rnacentral:rRNA from 1 species